rnacentral:rRNA from 1 species
CCUACGGGCGGCAGCAGUGGGGAAUAUUGCGCAAUGGGCGAAAGUCUGACGCAGCGACGCCGCGUGAGGGAUGAAGGUCUUCGGAUCGUAAACCUCUGUCAGCAGGGAAGAAAGGUCACUGUGCUAAUCAGCAGUGAACUGACGGUACCUGCAAAGGAAGCACCGGCUAACUCCGUGCCAGCAGCCGCGGUAAUACGGGGGGUGCGAGCGUUAUGCGGAAUUACUGGGCGUAAAGCGCUCGUAGGCGGUAUGUCAAGUCAAGGGUGAAAUCCCCGCGCUCAACGUGGGAACUGCCUUUGAAACUGGCAAACUAGAGUGUGUGAGAGGAUAGUGGAAUUCCAGGUGUAGGAGUGGAAUCCGUAGAUAUCUGGAGGAACAUCAGUGGCGAAGGCGACUAUCUGGCACAUAACUGACGCUGAGGAGCGAAAGCGUGGGUAGCAAACAGGAUUAGAUACCCGAGUAGUC